GUCCCGUUGGUCAAGUGGUUAAGACAUCGCCCUUUCACGGCGGUAUCACGAGUUCGAAUCUCGUACGGGACA
rnacentral:tRNA from 2 species